GUAUUCCAUCAUCGCAAGCGUUCUAACGACAACCAGCCUCCGCGACAUAAUGCCUAACGGUGGUCCCGCGGGGGAGCGUGCUAGAAGAAGCGUGUGGGGGGGUAGUUUUUAGUACGUAGAAAUCGUACUUGCUGCUACUAAGGAACCAGCAGUAUCUUUUGAAGAUUUUCUACUUCCAGCUCA
rfam:Glossina morsitans morsitans, isolate Yale, WGS project CCAG01000000 data, contig: ctg10010141